rnacentral:rRNA from 1 species
GAUGAACGCUAGCGGCAGGCCUAAUACAUGCAAGUCGAACGGGAUCUGAGGGUAGCUUGCUACCCGAUUUGAGAGUGGCGCACGGGUGCGUAACGCGUGAGCAACCUACCCAUAUCAGGGGGAUAGCCCGGAGAAAUUCGGAUUAACACCGCAUAAGAAUGUAUUAACACAUGUUAAAGCAUUUAAAUAUUUAUAGGAUAUGGAUGGGCUCGCGUGACAUUAGCUAGUUGGUGAGGUAACGGCUCACCAAGGCGACGAUGUCUAGGGGCUCUGAGAGGAGAAUCCCCCACACUGGUACUGAGACACGGACCAGACUCCUACGGGAGGCAGCAGUAAGGAAUAUUGGUCAAUGGGCGAAAGCCUGAACCAGCCAUGCCGCGUGCAGGAUGACUGCCCUAUGGGUUGUAAACUGCUUUUGUCGAGGAAUAGACCUAUCUACGUGUAGCUAGUUGAACGUACUCGAAGAAUAAGGAUCGGCUAACUCCGUGCCAGCAGCCGCUGUAA